GCUUACGGCCAUACCACCCUGAAUGCGCCUGAUCUCGGAAGCUAAGCAGGGUCAGGCCUGUUUAGUACUUGGAUGGGUGACCGCCUGGGAAUACCAGGUGCUGUAAGCU
rnacentral:rRNA from 1 species